UAUAUCGUAGAACACUUUAUUCGUUUACGUAAAAAACAUUUGUCCUUUAGGCGAUUAUUUUAAAUGUUUUGGUUGUGAAUCAAUUAUUUGUCUCUACCUUGCUGGAAUUAAUGAUUCCGCAAAGAAAUGAUUAAGACUUAUAAAUUGUUUUUGAUGAGGUGGACAUUGGGUGUAUUUUGUUCGGACAUUAUAUGUCGCAAGAAAGAUGAAGUCGAUGUGUAAAAGAAUCAGGAUACCCGAUUCACCUAGGAUUAUCACUGGACCAAAUUGAUUCUCCAUAAAAAUGCUAUAAAAUUAUCAUCCUAAGAAAAUUGCAUUAAUUUCUGGAGACAAUGAUGAAAUAAUAUUCUCUCUUCUGAAUCAUAAGCACAAAGAGAUAAUCUGGGAAAAGUUUUAAAGAUUUUCAAAUAUUGACAAUGGAUAUUGGAUAUAAAAGAGGUUUCUGACCAUUUUGGCAUCCCUUAAAACACAUGGAUGUGUGUGUAUGUAUGUGCGAAUAAGAUUUUUCGUCAUCGAUUUCGAGAACACGGAUCAACCAAA